rnacentral:misc_RNA from 1 species
UUUCCGUAGGUGAACCUGCGGAAGGAUCAUUAUUGUAUAACCGAGGUGCGAGGGCUGUCGCUGACCCGAAAGGUCGUGCACGCCCGAGUGUGUCCUCUUGCAUAAUAAUCCAUCUCACCCUUUGUGCAUCGCCGCGUGGGCACCCUUCGGGAUCAUCUCGGAGGGGGGCUCGCGUUUUCACACAAACCCCCCUUUUAGAAGUGUAGAAUGACCACAUUUAUGUAAUCAAUACAACUUUCAACAACGGAUCUCUUGGCUCUC